AUAAAGAUAUUGCGACAAACUUUUUUAAAUUUAGUGUCAAUCUACAAAAUUUAAAAAAUACGGUCCGAUUUUACAACAAUUUAAAAUCAAGGAAAAACUUCAAAUACCACAAUUGUGGUUCCGUACUUUCUCACUUUAGUACCUUCGGUUUAAAGUGUAUCAAUUUAGUGCCAUGUAGUUUUAUUUGUUAUCAAUUCUACUAAUUAUUUUUCUUAAAUCAAUAACAAAGUUAAAACUAAAUGGUACGAAAGUGAAUAUUCGAUAAACUAGGUGCGUAUCUAAAGUUUUUUGUAUAUAAUUUAAUGAAAUAUUAACGAAAAAAUUGACGAAAAGAGAAAAAUAAAACCAUAUGAUACUAAAUUGAUACACUUUAAAAAAUAGGGUACUCAAGGGAAAAAAUAUGAAACCACGGUGGUGGUAUUUGAAGUUUACCCUAUAAAAUCAAUAAAACCAAUAUUUUUUGGCCUUUUUGCAUAAAAAAUCCACUAGUUUUGGGCCUUUGCAAAACUGGGUCACUUUUUUCGAUUUUGCAUAUUCGGUCCGAAUUUUUAAUAAACUGACCAAAAUACCCUUAUUACUUUUUCUCUCUCCUUUUUUUUUUUCUCUCAUUCUUUUUUUUUUCCUUUCUGAAUAAGGCGACGGAGGCGGAGGUCGAAACAGCGUGCCUCGCCUCUGCCCCUCACACUCUCGUCCUCGCCCGCGCACCCCCCGCCCUCCUCGCCUUCAACCCUGCCAAGGCCACGCCACGACUUUUAUUUUUUUUUCUCCGAUCCUCCUCCACCGCCGGCAACGAAGAGGAAGUGCUUCCCGGGGACGAAAAGCACACCGGCGAGUUGGGGGGUGAAAACUCCGGCGAGGGCGGUGGCUGCGAUAGAGGGCAAGGAAGAGAUCGUGAUUGAAAAAAUUAUAAAGAAAAAAUAAAAAUAAAAAAUAUUUUUUUCUCCAUAAAAGAUCAAAAAUCAUAUAAAAAGGAAGAAGAUAAUGAAAUUGCACUGUUAAAAUAAUAUUGCACUAUUUUAAAAAAAUUGUACUAUUUUAAAUAAACAUUGCACGCUUUGAGACAGAAAUUAUAGUCUCUGAAAUCAAAUUUACACUCUUUAGGAUGAAUUUGCACUAUUUACGUAGAAGUUGCACUCUUUAGAUGAAGUUACACUAUUUCUUUUUUCUUUUUUUUCCUCUAAUUUACACUAUUUUUUUUCUUCCUCUUCUUCCUCCUUCUUUCUUCUCCUUCUCCCCGCCCUCAUCAAAUCCCUCUGCUCCUCCUCUGCCGCUGCCGCCGGCCAACACAACAACAACAACGC
rnacentral:lncRNA from 1 species